GAGAAGUCAUCUGCUAUUGAUGGGGAGAAUUGGAUGUGAAAAACACACCAUGGAUUAUACAAUGAGGAGAUGGAGGUUUGGGAUACAGGGAGUCUGGGCCAAAUUUCAUCUUGCACUGCAAAUCUGGAGUCCCCUCUCCUAGAGGAGGUAGAGUGCCACAGAAGAAACUAUAUUCUGAGAUGUUGUAUGCCCUACUGGUUAAUAGCUUAUGCUCUGGAGGUAAGUAGAUUGGGGCUGAAUCUUUGUUUCACCAUUUGCUGGUUGUGAUUUUGGACAAGUUAUCCAACUUCUAGCUCUCGGUUCCCCAGAUUCCUUGUCUGUAAAAUGGGGCCAAUAAUUUGACUACCUUAUGAGGUUGUUAAAAGCCUUAAAU
rnacentral:lncRNA from 1 species